GCUGGCGGCGUGCUUAACACAUGCAAGUCGAACGGAAAGGCCCUGCUUUUGUGGGGUGCUCGAGUGGCGAACGGGUGAGUAACACGUGAGUAACCUGCCCUUGACUUUGGGAUAACUUCAGGAAACUGGGGCUAAUACCGGAUAGGAGCUCCUGCUGCAUGGUGGGGGUUGGAAAGUUUCGGCGGUUGGGGAUGGACUCGCGGCUUAUCAGCUUGUUGGUGGGGUAGUGGCUUACCAAGGCUUUGACGGGUAGCCGGCCUGAGAGGGUGACCGGCCACAUUGGGACUGAGAUACGGCCCAGACUCCUACGGGAGGCAGCAGUGGGGAAUAUUGCACAAUGGGCGGAAGCCUGAUGCAGCAACGCCGCGUGCGGGAUGACGGCCUUCGGGUUGUAAACCGCUUUCGCCUGUGACGAAGCGUGAGUGACGGUAAUGGGUAAAGAAGCACCGGCUAACUACGUGCCAGCAGCCGCGGUGAUACGUAGGGUGCGAGCGUUGUCCGGAUUUAUUGGGCGUAAAGGGCUCGUAGGUGGUUGAUCGCGUCGGAAGUGUAAUCUUGGGGCUUAACCCUGAGCGUGCUUUCGAUACGGGUUGACUUGAGGAAGGUAGGGGAGAAUGGAAUUCCUGGUGGAGCGGUGGAAUGCGCAGAUAUCAGGAGGAACACCAGUGGCGAAGGCGAUUCUCUGGGCCUUUCCUGACGCUGAGGAGCGAAAGCGUGGGGAGCGAACAGGCUUAGAUACCCUGGUAGUCCACGCUGUAAACGGUGGGUACUAGGUGUGGGGUCCAUUCCACGGGUUCCGUGCCGUAGCUAACGCUUUAAGUACCCCGCCUGGGGAGUACGGCCGCAAGGCUAAAACUCAAAGGAAUUGACGGGGCCCCGCACAAGCGGCGGAGCAUGCGGAUUAAUUCGAUGCAACGCGUAGAACCUUACCUGGGUUUGACAUGGAUCGGGAGUGCUCAGAGAUGGGUGUGCCUCUUUUGGGGUCGGUUCACAGGUGGUGCAUGGCUGUCGUCAGCUCGUGUCGUGAGAUGUUGGGUUAAGUCCCGCAACGAGCGCAACCCUUGUUCACUGUUGCCAGCACGUUAUGGUGGGGACUCAGUGGAGACCGCCGGGGUCAACUCGGAGGAAGGUGGGGAUGACGUCAAGUCAUCAUGCCCCUUAUGUCCAGGGCUUCACGCAUGCUACAAUGGCUGGUACAGAGAGUGGCGAGCCUGUGAGGGUGAGCGAAUCUCGGAAAGCCGGUCUCAGUUCGGAUUGGGGUCUGCAACUCGACCUCAUGAAGUCGGAGUCGCUAGUAAUCGCAGAUCAGCAACGCUGCGGUGAAUACGUUCCCGGGGCUUGUACACACCGCCCGUCAAGUCAUGAAAGUUGGUAACACCCGAAGCCGGUGACCUAACCGUUGUGGGGGAGCCGUCGAAGGUGGGACUGGUGAAU
rnacentral:rRNA from 1 species